CUAGACAACCUACCGACAUUGUAGUAAAAAUUCCAAAACCAUUACCACAAUUCCAAAGUACUCCAAGACAGCAGCAAUAUGUACAGGAAGUCCCAACUCAGAGACAAGCUCAACAAGACCAAAGGCAGCAAUCCAAUAUCAUCUACCAAUAUCAAUAAUGAUUAAUUUAUGAAUAACAUAUAUUUAUACUCAAGUAUUGAGAAUCCAUUGAGACUGUAGGGAUGAAAUAUCGAAUAAAAUUUUUUUUCUA